GGGAAGGUGGCUCAGUGGUAGAGUGCUUGCCUUGCAUGCAUGAGGCCCUGGGAUUGAUUCCUUGCCACCACA
rnacentral:tRNA from 1 species